rnacentral:rRNA from 1 species
UUCCGCGCCGUAGCUAACNCCUUAAGUGCCCCGCCUGGGGAGUACGGCCGCAAGGCUAAAACUCAAAGGAAUUGACGGGGGCCCGCACAAGCGGCGGAGCACGCGGAUUAAUUCGAUGCAACGCGAAGAACCUUACCAAGGCUUGACAUGUGCCGGUCGGCUCCGGAGACGGGGUUUCCUCCUUGUGGGGCCGGUUCACAGGUGGUGCAUGGUUGUCGUCAGCUCGUGUCGUGAGAUGUUGGGUUAAGUCCCGCAACGAGCGCAACCCUUGUCCCGUGUUGCCAGCACGUUGUGGUGGGGACUCGCGGGAGACUGCCGGGGUCAACUCGGAGGAAGGUGGGGAUGACGUCAAAUCAUCAUGCCCCUUAUGUCUUGGGCUUCACGCAUGCUACAAUGGCCGGUACAGAGGGCUGCGAUACCGUAAGGUGGAGCGAAUCCCUUAAAGCCGGUCUCAGUUCGGAUCGGUGUCUGCAACUCGACACCGUGAANU